rnacentral:rRNA from 1 species
CCUACGGGAGGCAGCAGUGAGGAAUAUUGGUCAAUGGACGAGAGUCUGAACCAGCCAAGUAGCGUGAAGGAUGACUGCCCUAUGGGUUGUAAACUUCUUUUAUAAAGGAAUAAAACGAGGCACGUGUGCCUUUUUGCAUGUACUUUAUGAAUAAGGAUCGGCUAACUCCGUGCCAGCAGCCGCGGUAAUACGGAGGAUCCGAGCGUUAUCCGGAUUUAUUGGGUUUAAAGGGAGCGUAGGUGGGUUGUUAAGUCAGUGGUGAAAGUUUGGGGCUCAACCGUAAGCUUGCAAUUGAUACUGGCAGUCUUGAGUAGAGUAGAGGUAGGCGGAAUGCGUGGUGUAGCGGUGAAAUGCAUAGAUAUCGCGCAGAACCCCGAUUGCGAAGGCAGCAUACUAAAU